GGACCCGCACAAGCAGUGGAGCAUGUGGUUUAAUUCGACGCAACGCGAAGAACCUUACCAGCGUUUGACAUGAGAAGUGCCGGUUACAGAAUGGUAACCUUCAGUUCGGCUGGCUUCUACACAGGUGCUGCAUGGCUGUCGUCAGCUCGUGUCGUGAGAUGUUGGUUAAGUCCCGCAACGAGCGCAACCCUUAUCGUUAGUUACUAACAGUUCGGCUGAGGACUCUAGCGAAACUGCCGGUGAUAAGCCGGAGGAAGGUGGGGAUGACGUCAAGUCCUCAUGGCCCUUACACGCUGGGCUACACACGUGCUACAAUGGGGAAUACAGACGGACGCUAAGCCGCGAGGUGGUGCU
rnacentral:rRNA from 1 species